AGAACGAACGCUGGCGGCAUGCCUAACACAUGCAAGUCGAACGAACCCUUCGGGGUUAGUGGCGCACGGGUGCGUAACGCGUGGGAAUCUGCCCCUUGGUUCGGAAUAACAGUUGGAAACGACUGCUAAUACCGGAUGAUGACGAAAGUCCAAAGAUUUAUCGCCAAGGGAUGAGCCCGCGUAGGAUUAGCUAGUUGGUGAGGUAAAGGCUCACCAAGGCAACGAUCCUUAGCUGGUCUGAGAGGAUGACUCGACGCCACACGUGGACUGAGACGACCGGCCCAGACCUCCGUACGGGAGCAGCAGGUAGGAAUAGUGAACAGUGGACGAACGCUGA
rnacentral:rRNA from 1 species